rnacentral:misc_RNA from 1 species
CAAACCCUUAAGCCCUGUUGCUUAGCGUUGGGAGCCUGCCGUACAAGGCAGCUCCUCAAAGUCAUCGGCGGAGUUUCAGUAAUCUCUAAGCGUAGUAAUUCGUUCUCGCUUCUGAAGUGCUGUAGCCCCUGCCGCUAAACCCCCAAUUUUUCAG